CCCUUAGAUGUUCUGGGCCGCACGCGCGCUACACUGAUGCAUUCAACGAGCCUAUCCUUGACCGACAGGUCCGGGUAAUCUUUGAAUCUGCAUCGUGACGGGGAUCGAUUAUUGCAAUUAUUAAUCUUCAACGAGGAAUGCCUAGUAGGCGCAAGUCAUCAGCUUGCGUCGAUUACGUCCCUGCCCUUUGUACACACCGCCCGUCGCUCCUACCGAUUGGGUGUGCUGGUGAAAUGUUCGGAUCGGCCGUUUGUCGCGGUUUCCGCGUCAUGUGGCUGAGAAGUUCAUUAAACCCUCCCACCUAGAGGAAGGAGAAGUCGUAACA
rnacentral:rRNA from 1 species